CCUACGGGGGGCAGCAGUGAGGAAUAUUGGUCAAUGGCCGCGAGCCUGAACCAGCCAAGUAGCGUGAAGGAUGACUGCCCUACGGGUUGUAAACUCCUUUUAUCAAGGCAUAAAGUGAUGCACGUGUGCCUUUUUGUAUGUACUUUAUGAAUAAGGAUCGGCUAACUCCGUGCCAGCAGCCGCGGUAAUACGGAGGAUCCGAGCGUUAUCCGGAUUUAUUGGGUUUAAAGGGAGCGGAGACGGGUUGUUAAGUCAGGUGUGAAAGUUUGCGGCUCAACCGUAAAAUUGCAAUUGAUACUGGCAUUCUUGAGUACAGGUGAGGUAGGCGGAAUUCGUGGUGUAGCGGUGAAAUGCUUAGAUAUCACGAAGAACUCCGAUUGCGAAGGCAGCUUACUAAACUGCCACUGACGUUGAUGCUCGAAAGUGUGGGUAUCGAACAGGAUUAGAUACCCGUGUAGUC
rnacentral:rRNA from 1 species